CUCCCUCUAGUGAAAGUUCUUUAAUGGUUUGUCUGAGGUGUUCAGUCAGUUUUUCUCUUGUGGGGUUGGCCUUAUGUUGGAGCUUUGCCUUCCUUAGGGCUGUCUGUAAUUCCAACAACUGGGUAGUUGUUUAUCUUUUUUUGUGUGUGGCUGCUUUGAUGAGGUGCCCCUUGAUAACCGUCUUAUUUGCCGCUCAGAUGGUUGUGGAAUUUACGUUGGG